rnacentral:rRNA from 1 species
UACGAAGGGGGCUAGCGUUGCUCGGAAUCACUGGGCGUAAAGGGUGUGUAGGUGGCGCGCUAAGUCGGGUGUGAAAUUUCGGAGCUUAACUCCGAAACUGCAUUCGAUACUGGCGUGCUUGAGGACUGGAGAGGAGACUGGAAUUCAUGGUGUAGCAGUGAAAUUCGUAGAUAUCAGGAGGAACACCAGUGGCGAAGGCGGCUUUCUGGACGGUAACUGACGCUGAGACGCGAAAGCGUGGGGAGCAAACAGG